rnacentral:rRNA from 1 species
CCUACGGGAGGCAGCAGUGAGGAAUAUUGGUCAAUGGCCGGAAGGCUGAACCAGCCAUGCCGCGUGAAGGGCAGGGCCCUAUGGGCGUUAAACUUCGUUUGGGCGGGAGCAAGAAUGGUCACGUGGGGCCAGACGAGAGUACCGUACGAAUAAGCAGCGGCUAACUCCGGGCCAGCAGCCGCGGUAAUACGGGGGAUGCAAGCGUUAUCCGGAUUUAUUGGGGUUAAAGGGGGCGUCGGCUGUAUGUCAAGUCAAGGGGGAAAUCCCCGCGCUCAACGUGGGAACUGCCUUUGAAACUGGCAAACUGGAGUGUGUGAGAGGAUAGUGUAAUUCCAGGUGUAGGCGUGAAAUCCGUAGAUAUCUGGAGGAACAUCAGUGGCGAAGGCGACUCUCUGUCACAUACCUGACGCUGAGGAGCGAAAGCGUGGGUAGCAAACAGGAUUAGAUACCCCUGUAGUC